rnacentral:rRNA from 1 species
GACAGAGGGUGCAAACGUUGUUCGGAAUUACUGGGCGUAAAGCGUGUGUAGGCGGUCCGAUAAGUCGGGUGUGAAAGCCCUGGGCUCAACCCAGGAAGUGCACUCGAAACUGCCGGGCUAGAGUAUCGGAGAGGUUGGUGGAAUUCUCGGUGUAGAGGUGAAAUUCGUAGAUAUCGAGAGGAACACCGGCGGCGAAGGCGGCCAACUGGACGAAUACUGACGCUGAGACACGAAAGCGUGGGGAGCAAACAGG